rnacentral:rRNA from 1 species
UUCGUCAGUCACUGUGGCUACUCCACGGCCUCCAACUCCCAAAGGUUGGCCGGGAAGGUGGCCGUGAUCACCGGUGCCGCCAGCGGCAUCGGCAAGGCGACGGCCGCGGAGUUCGUCAGGAACGGCGCCAAGGUCAUCCUCGCCGACAUCCAGGACGACCUCGGCCGCGCCGUCGCCGCCCAGCUCGGCCCGGACGCGGCCUACGCCCGCUGCGACGUCACGGACGAGGCGCAGGUCGCUGCGGCCGUCGACCUCGCGGUGGCGCGCCAUGGCCGGCUCGACAUCAUGCACAACCACGCCGGCGUCACCGGGCGGGUGGUCAUGGACUCCGGGUCCCUCGACCUCGCCGACUUCGACCGCACCAUGGCCACCAACGCCCGGUCCGCCGUCGCCGGGAUCAAGCACGCGGCGCGCGUGAUGGUGCCGCGCCGGAGCGGGUGCAUCAUCUGCACGGCGAGCACCGCGGGGGUGCUGGGCGGCAUCAUCGCGCCCACGUACGGCGUCUCCAAGGCCGCCGUCAUCGGCGCCGUGCGCGCCUUUGCCGGGGAGCUGGGGCGCCACGGGGUGCGCGUGAACGCCAUCUCGCCGCACGGCAUCGCCACGCAGUUCGGGCUGCGCGGGCUGGCACAGCUGUUCCCGGAGGCGGGCGAGGAGGAGAUGCGACGGAUGGUGGAGGCGGGCAUGAACGAGAUGGGCGGCGGGACGGUGCUGGAGGUGGAGGACAUCGCCAGGGCCGCCGUGUACCUGGCGUCCGACGAGGCCAAGUACGUCAACGGGCACAACCUCGUCGUCGACGGCGGGUGCACGGUGUGGAAGGGGGCCAACAAGCCGGCACCGGCGCAGUAA